UUAGGUAGAGGUUGCAAACAACAAGAGUAUUUUAAAAGAGCCAGACAAGGCGUUGAAAUUAAAAGAAAGGGAAGUUUGCCGAAAUGGAGAUUGUGUCAAAAAUCUUUGUUGGGAAUAUAGAGAAUAUCUAUAUUACUGUCACUAGAGAACUAGUGUUGUGCUAUC
rnacentral:ncRNA from 1 species